rnacentral:piRNA from 1 species
UGGAAGUGAUGCCGCUCUUCGCCGGG